GAAUAUUCCCAUUAGAUAGAUAGAUAGAAGGAUUCUCAACCAACACAUCCAAAUUUGACUACCUAAAUAUGUCAAUUUAAAAUAAUAUUAAAAACCCAAAUAAAAUUUUUAAAUAUUUUUUGCUUAAUAAUAUUAAGACCUUAUUCUUCUUUAUUUCUUGUAAAAAACAGCAGAAAAAAUGUCAUCAGCUUGUUGAUGAAUGUAUUAGCAAAUUCAAACAGGAGCCGUCAAGUAAGGAGUAUGGUGAGGUUUUGAAGGCCAAAUGAAAACCUUGCGGUCCUGUAUGUACUGAUGGACUCAGAAUCGAGAAAUGAGCAUUGAGGCGCCAUUUCCUUGUUGAUGGCUCUUCCCAGUUGUUAUCCUAGUAAUUUAUCCUACAAUCCUCAGAAACAAUGAACCAGACUGCAGGGUUUAUCAAUCUUGAAAAAGCAUGCUUUACAGAGAUUUGCUCAAGGUCAAUUAUACAUACCUGAAACCCUUUGUCUCUCCAUUGAAACACGCAACCACGCUCUUCUAAAUGCUUAAAAAGCUGCUGGGGUAGCAGUGAUUUAAAGGAUGACUGAAGUUUGACUUUUGUUAGC